GUACACUCCUGCGGGAGGCAGCAGUGGGGAAUAUUGCACAAUGGGCGCAAGCCUGAUGCAGCCAUGCCGCGUGUGUGAAGAAGGCCUUCGGGUUGUAAAGCACUUUCAGCGGGGAGGAAGGCGAUACGGUUAAUAACCGUGUUGAUUGACGUUACCCGCAGAAGAAGCACCGGCUAACUCCGUGCCAGCAGCCGCGGUAAUACGGAGGGUGCAAGCGUUAAUCGGAAUUACUGGGCGUAAAGCGCACGCAGGCGGUCUGUCAAGUCGGAUGUGAAAUCCCCGGGCUCAACCUGGGAACUGCAUUCGAAACUGGCAGGCUUGAGUCUUGUAGAGGGGGGUAGAAUUCCAGGUGUAGCGGUGAAAUGCGUAGAGAUCUGGAGGAAUACCGGUGGCGAAGGCGGCCCCCUGGACAAAGACUGACGCUCAGGUGCGAAAGCGUGGGGAGCAAACAGGAUUAGAAACCCCAGUAGUCCCAUGA
rnacentral:rRNA from 1 species